rnacentral:rRNA from 1 species
UACGUAGGGCGCAAGCGUUGUCCGGAAUUAUUGGGCGUAAAGAGCUCGUAGGCGGUUUGCCGCGUCUGCCGUGAAAGCCCGGGGCUCAACCCCGGGUCUGCGGUGGGUACGGGCAGACUGGAGUGCAGUAGGGGAGACCGGAAUUCCUGGUGUAGCGGUGAAAUGCGCGGAUAUCAGGAGGAACACCGGUGGCGAAGGCGGAUCUCUGGGCCUUACCUGACGCUGAGGCGCGAAAGCUAGGGGAGCGAACAGG